GCUUUCGUGGUGUAAUGGUCAGCACACUCGGAGUGUAUUCUACAGAUCUGAGGUUCGAGUCCCGGCGAGGGCA
rnacentral:tRNA from 1 species